GAUGAACGCUGGCGGCGUGCCUAAUACAUGCAAGUCGAGCGAACGGACGAGAAGCUUGCUUCUCUGAUGUUAGCGGCGGACGGGUGAGUAACACGUGGAUAACCUACCUAUAAGACUGGGAUAACUUCGGGAAACCGGAGCUAAUACCGGAUAAUAUUUUGAACCGCAUGGUUCAAAAGUAAAAGACGGUCUUGCUGUCACUUAUAGAUGGAUCCGCGCUGCAUUAGCUAGUUGGUAAGGUAACGGCUUACCAAGGCAACGAUGCAUAGCCGACCUGAGAGGGUGAUCGCCCCCCCUGGAACUGAGACACGGUCCAGCCCCCUACGGGAGGCAGCAGGAGGGAAUUUCCCGAAAUGGGCGAAAGCCUGAGGGAGCAACGCGGGGUGAGUGAGGAAGGGCUUCGGAUCGUAAAACUCUGUUAUUAGGGAAGAAAAUAUGUGUAAGUAACGGUGCACAUCUGGACGGUACCUAAUCAGAAAGCCACGGCUAACUACGU
rnacentral:rRNA from 1 species